AUGAGUCUGUUAUGCUGGAACUGUCGCGGUGUUGGCAAUCCCGCGACAGUUCGAGAGCUUCGUGAUAUCACGAGGCAACUUGCCCCUUCUAUAUUAUGUAUCGUAGAAACUCAAAUAGAGGGCUCUAGAGUUGAAAGUUUGGUAGACACUUUAGGUUUCAAUAAAAGUUUUGCAGUCAGCAGUAAUGGUAGAAGUGUUGGUCUUGGAAUAUUUUGGAGUGAUAAAAUAAAGCUUGAAGUUGUUGGUUAUUCGGAAUAUCACAUUGAUGUGACAGUUGAUGCUCUCAUGGAUACAAAAACUAGGGUGACCUUCGUCUACGGGGAAGCCCAAGUUAACCAGCGAUACAAAACAUGGGAUAAGCUACGAGGAAUAGUUUGAUCAAGCACGAUGCCUUGGGUAGUUAUGGGAGACUUUAAUGAGGUACUACAAGCUCAUGAACAUGACGGAGUGGGAGAAAUGAGUCAAGCUCAGAUGGACGCUUUUCGUGAUGCGCUGGACACUUGCGGAUUAUCUGAUAUUGGUUAUACUGGGAAUAGGUGGACAUGGGAGAAGAAAGUCAGUGGAGGAACAUAUACGCGGGUUAGGCUUAAUAGAGCUGUGGCCAACUGGACCUGGUCUUUAGCUUUCCCCACAGCGACCUUGAUGCAUAAAUCAGCGGCGACCAGUGAUCACGGGCCAAUCUUCUUAAAGCAUGCGGACGUGCAUGCAUGCACAAGGGUGCGGCGGCAGUUUCGAUGCGAGCAAUGCAGGGAACGGGGUCCGACGUUGAAGGCAGUAGUGGAGACAACAUGGUCAGGGGAUGCUGGCGACUCGGUAGGAGCACUGAAAACAAAAUUGUCGGCGCUGUCGGGGGAUCUAGCCAGAUGGGAUCGAGAUCACUUUGGUAACAUGCGACGAGAAAUAGCUCAGUUAAAAAAGACCUGGAGGAGAUUAGGGCUUCACAAAUCAGGUCAACACCAUGUCGGGUGGAGAUCAAGAUUGUUGAUAGGCUUACAAAAUUAUACUACAGAGGAUAAAUUCUUUGGAGACAGCGGGCCCGUCUUGAGUGGCUAA
rnacentral:rRNA from 1 species